rnacentral:tRNA from 1 species
GCCGUUGUGGUGGAAUCGGUAGACACAGGGGACUUAAAAUCCCCCGGUGGUGACACUGUACGGGUUCGAGUCCCGUCAACGGCA